UUCUGUGGUUCUAGCAAGAUUCUAAUGUUUUCCAGGAGCCAGAUGUGUUUAGAUCACAGUGGAGGACACAGUACUAAGUAAUGGCUGCGGGAUGCAGGUGUGAGUAUAAUACAGCAGCCUCGGGUAAUGGAACUCAAAAAAGAAAUGCCCCUUCUGCUGUGGCCGCAGGAGGGGAUGAGCAGCUUUCUGAGACUUGGAGGUAGGGAAGAAGGAUUCAGACUGCCAAAGGCUGGAGAAGCUGCUUUUCUUACUAGUGCUGUGAUUUUUUUUUUGGCAGUUCUUGGAAUGAAUUUCAACAUGUAUGGUUCUCUUUAUAGCCACAUCUAACAUGUUGUAUAUCAGGAAACAGUACAGAAAGGUUAGGUGGCGUUUAACCUUUCUUACAGCUCAUGCAAGAAAAACAACAGGUAAAUUCUGAGAUUGUUUUUUAACAAGGUGCACCUACCUUUUUUUUUUUUUAUUGUUUUUAAGCAACCUUCCACUACUUAAAUUCUUUGCUGCUCUUUUAUAUUUCUCUGUGAAACUCCAGUGCUAAAAAUGGAAUUUUGUAUGUCUGUUGAGGCUAUGGCCCUCUAACUGUACUAAAUCCAUGUAUUUUGUAUGUGUUACCAGACAACUGAAGCGAGCUGCCAGCACUGUUGCUGGCUCUUAGUUCUUGAAGUGAGAACUAUCUUUUUGUAGAUAGACCGUGCUCUUUUUUUUUUUUUUUUUAAAUUUGAUUUAAGGACUUUUCUUCAAUUGAUUGAACUUUUACCAUGUACAUUGAUGAUUAUUUUUUUUAAAAGAAACUUUGUUUGUUUGCUCAAUUCCUGUGUGAAAUAAUGGGCCCUCGUAGUUUUGCAGGCAAGGGCUACAUUGUCUUCUGUUUGUGCAGGGUUUAUAAGAUGAUGUGCUGCUGUUGUGAUUUGUUUUAAUAAGCUAAUUUCAGCAAUAUGUUCAGCUCUGGAAGUAAGCCAUAUCACAUCGCUGGGUUUCAUUUCAGAAGAGGAAUGGGUAGGGCGUGAAAUGACCAGAAACACUUGCUUCAAGUGCUGCUGUCUAGAGCUUUGUGUGUGUGAUCCACUAGUUCAGUAACGCGCAUUUCAGAUCUUUAUUAAUUCAGCUGUGUUCAUUGCUCUUACCUGAGGAGAGAGACCACACAGCGUUACUCAGAGUAGUUAAUUUAUUGGUGCAUAGUAAACAAGGCCACCUUUGUGGUAAAAGUGUAGGAAUAACAUCCCCCCCUCUGAUGCCGUGCGUGCUUCGCGUGGGAAGCGGGGCAGUGCCCCAGGCAGCCCUCACUCCUCCGGAGCUCUGCCUUCCAGCCAUGACCAGGAGUUGUUUGACAACUUUCAAUUUAAAAGAAUCAGGGUUUAUUCUGAGUUACAGGCAGCAAAUCCCGGGAUACUGCAUCAGAAAAGCAGGGUUUUACUAUCAGGGUGUGGUACUUGAACCUGGUUGAAGAAAUGUGGAAGGAAAGGUUUCCCUAGUGAGAGGUGAGCCAAAAGCCCGCUCUUCUGCACUGGCAAGCACAGCUGGAGGUUUCUCCCCUUUCUCCUUUUCUUUGUUUUACCUCUAAACUUUCAGAGGUGCUGUAAAAUUCCCUGAGGCUAAAUGUUUUAUGUAUAGUAGGUAUUUUUAUAGCCUGCUUUUGAAUAUACUGUGAUGAAUGUUUUACUAAGUGGGUGUUCAGUAAAAAGAGUUGUAUACAAGUGUAAAUAAACUGUUAUGCUGAUACUUGAAGAGAAAAAAAUUAUGAAGUUGUCUGUUCUGCUUUAGGAAGGUACUUAAACCAUUGACUGCGUCCGACCCUUUCUAGCUGGUAAGAGCAAAUGUAGACAAUGAAUGUAAAUUUGAAGCAGUUCUCCCCAGUGCCUGGCUACCUUCCUGGGGAGGCACUGUUAAGAAUGGCAGAUCAUCGUCCCUGUCUAAAAGCUGCGUACCUUCUCCCCUCCUGUUCCUGACCAUGCAAUACUGACCGAUCUGUCACUGAUAGGGGAGGUAAAAAUCGUUGUCCUGGCCUUGCAUAUUUAUACCCAUGUGUAUUUUACUACCUUUUGACUGUUAGUACACUUGCUAGCUCAGAUGCAGUCUUUAGAAUGGGGUUAAACUAUCUUUUCUUACAUCAUUGGCCUUCGUUGUAAUCUUUCAGACAAAUGUAAUCAUUUGACGUUUGAUCCAAGUAAUAAAGAUCAAAUGCUACACCUUGCACUGCUGUGUUUCUUUCUGUGUCUGUUACAGUAGCUGAAGUGCCAGGUGAGGGUUCCUGCAGGUCAGCUGAUUUCCACAGCUUGCUGAAGUGCAGGAAUUGUAGCUUGUUUAAAACAGCUUAUACAGUGACAGAAGAGUAAAGCAGCUGGUAGAAUAACUUUACUCAGAUAAAAUAACUGUAAUUUAAGUAACAAACUCAGUAACUGAGGGAAAAGUUGGAAGAAUGCAUUAAAUAAAAGCACAUCAAGAUUUGUCCACACAGUGGAGCAGAAAGUCUUCCAGAUGCUGCUGGUAUUUUUCAGAAGGCUGAAAAUCAACAGCAAAACGCUGCCUUCUGGUGGCCCUCGGGCACAGCUGUUCAGUGGAGGCAGUCCAGAGGCUGUGCAACUGUACAGACCUGCGGUGCUCUCAUUUCUGGUCGCUCCAACCUGAGCAGGCUCCUGUGGCAGGAUUCUUAAACUUCCAGAGCCCCUCUGUAUGCGAAAAUGCAACAUGAAGCCUCCUGUUCUCAAAGGGAAUGCCUCUCCUGCAUCAAGUAUGUAAGCACUCUUUAAAAUGUACUUUACUUUGAGAUUGUUUUAUCCAUUCUGGUACUGGGGUGGAGGAAAACUGAUCUGAAUUUUUAAUGGCUUGUGACGAAGCAGUGGAAGCCUGUGGUGACAAAGAUCAAGCAAUGCAUGGUUUGUUCUUUACACACUUUUUCAGGUAACACUAGGGAUGUACAUUCGAAAUAGCUCUAAGUUCACCAGUAUGGAGAAUGCAUCUUUUUCUGAGCUGGUCUAGUUCAAGUUAACUAUCAGUAAGCACUAACAGUGCUAUCAGCAGCGCUAACAUCAAUGCAUACAAAACAUUGCAUUCCUCUGUUGAUCUGAAAAGGAUGGAUAUCAGCACUAUUCAUUAUUUUCCUGAAGACAGCGGUAGUGAAGAAGUUCCUUAAAGCUGUAUAGGAAGAUGGUCUUAAUUGGAAGAUUUUAGGGUAGAAAAGAUUUAAGGUUUCAGAAUAAACUACCGUAAGGAUGUUUUGAGCAAGUUGGAGGAUUCAGCCAUCAGCCCUAGGCCGAUGACCAGCAGACACAUGCAGCACUGUUACAGGAACACAGAAUAAUCCACGUACCACUUUUGGCCUGAAAGGAGGGUCUACCUCCCUCUUCUCUAACGCU